rnacentral:snRNA from 1 species
AUACUUACCUGGCAGGGGAGAUACUAUGGUCAGAAAGGUGUUUUUCCCAGGGCAAGGCUUAUCCAUUGCACUCCGGAUGUGCUGACUCCUGCGAUUUCCCCAAAUGUGGGAAACUCGACUGCAUAAUUUGUGGUGGUGGGGGUGGCCAA